GUUGUAGCUCAGUUGGUUAGAGCGCCUGGUUGUGGCCCAGGAGGUCGCGGGUUCGAACCCCGUUUA
rnacentral:tRNA from 1 species